rnacentral:tRNA from 1 species
AAGAUUUUAAGUUAAUUUUUAAACUUUAAACUUUCAAAGUUUAGAUUAUAAUUUUUUUUAUAAAUCUUA